UGUUUUUUUUUUUUUUUUUUUUUUUUUUGAAGAAAGCAAGUGAUUUGUGGUAAUUUUGGGAACGAAAAUUGGGGGGUUUUGAUGUUUUUUUUUCCCUCAAAGAUUGGAGAACAAAAACAUUUUGAAGGAUUUAAGGGUUUAAUUUUUGAGUUAAAGAUUAUAAAAAUUGGAUCUUUUAGGGAAACUAAAGCAGGGUUUCUUGUGGUUUUGGGGGUUUUUCUGUUUCUAGGUUUGGUCAUCAAUUAUUAGUUUUAAGAGUAAUUUGGGGGGUUUUCUGUUUCUAGGUUUGGUCAUCAAUUAUUAGUUUUGAGAGUAAGAUUCUUAAGAGAAAACUACAUCAUAAAUUAUCAUUGAUAUAUUGAGAAAAGGAUCAUUGUUUCGAAUUUGAUUGUCAAAUGCUUAAAUUCUUGUUAUGUUUCUAUAAUAAUUUAUGUAGAAAUUGGAUAAUACGUUUUAUGCUAGUAUCUUUUUGUUUUCAACAAAUUUUCAAGAUUAGAUGUCUGCAACUACAAUCUGUAAUAUCUUUUAUGGCUACAUUCAAGUAUUCAUGAGGCGAGAGAGAGAGAGAAUGAGAUUGUGAUAAAAGAGAUUUGGGGUUGUUUAUUUGUUUAAAUAUAUUUUAAAUACAUUAUUAAAAUUACUAACUUACUCUCGUGUGCAAAACACAUGUCAUACUUAACUGAAUUUUUAACUUAGUUAGUGUUAAAGGACGUAUAGUGUAGUGGUUUUACAAAAAAAGGACUGUAACUGUAAUUAUUGAAGUUAAAGGGCAUCCAUUGCAAUUUGAUACAUACAUAAAGGACGAAAAAUGUAAUUUACCCGUAUAUAUAUUAACGUCUCUUCAGCAAACUUAUAAGCAACUUCCAUCAUACAAAUAAAAUUCUGAAGCAAGAAACCAUUUCACAUAUUCAUAAACACCUCCAACAACCACCCAGCCUUCCACCUAUGUUGAACCAUCAUAACCAUCACCCCUGUUAAGAGUAUCAGACCAUUACCGAACCACCCAAAGCACACCCGAACUAGCUUUUCUACUUUCUGUUGCCUUUGUUCGAUCCAUUAGAAGCACCAAACCCGACAUCACCGUCACCUUCAUUAUUCCGGCCAAACCUAAACGAACUCAAACACUAAAUAAUACCAUUAUUACAUGUCUUCAUCUUGUUAGUAACCUUUGAACCACCGCACUUGACCUCACAACACGAACCGAUAUUUUCCGGCAAUCCCAUAGAGUAGACGUCUCAACCCAAGGUAGAUCUUGUAAACGUCGCUCGUGAACAAGGCGAUUUCGCUUUAAAACAAUAAAGCAUCGACAUCAUGUGCUCCUUCCGUGACGGAGAGAUCAGUUCACGGCGUGCCUAGGUACAAGUGAGGUACAAAGCUACUAGGAGGCUUAUGGAUUGAUCCUAGGAUUUAAGUUAAGGAGGUGGAUACCGGGCAUGCCAACUCGCCAUCUCGUGUGAUAAUUAUGCAGGAGUAGCUACCUGUGUAUUGUCACGUUUUAAGUUUGGCUCAUGGGUACAUCCGUAGGAUAUGAUUUAAAUUACGAAAUUACAUUACUUGCAUCGUAUCAUUUUAACAUAAAGUUCCAUCCGGAUAACAUUUCAUAUAAAGCAUUAUUUUUAUUUGAGCC